CUCAGGAGCGUACAUGCACAUGCAAAAAUCCGCCCCCCCCAGCAACGGUGGCCUUAAUUGUUCAGGGCCAGAUCUUGACACUAAACUCUGCACAAAGCAGCUUUGUCCAGUGCAUGGAAACUGGGCGGAUUGGUCCAGUUGGUCUAGUUGCUCAUUUUCCUGUGAUGUUGGAAUAAUGAAAAAGACAAGAACCUGCAACAAUCCAAGACCAGACUGAUUUGGAGACACUUGUUAUGGCGAUGCUAGUGAAUAUACUGCUUGCCAAAAUGAUCACUGCGUUGCCCCGGUGCAUGGCAACUGGUCCGCCUGGUCCGUAUGGUCCACUUGUUCUUUCACUUGUGAUGGGGGACUCCAGAAGAGAUCAAGGUCGUGCACCAAUCCUAAACCAAGCGCACUGGGCGACUAUUGUUUCGGUGAUAUAG